GAAAUAGAGAGAAGGCAGACGGUGGAUGCCUAGGCUCUCGGGAGCGAAGAAGGACGUGAUAAGCUGCGAUAAGCUGCGGGGAUUGGCACAUACGACGCGAUCCGCAGAUUUCCGAAUGGGGCAACCCGCCGGAGAGGAGCUCCGGCACUUUCUUAAAGAAAGGGCGAACGUGGGGAACUGAAACAUCUUAGUACCCAUAGGAAGAGAAAACAACAGUGAUUCCCUAAGUAGUGGCGAGCGAACGGGGAACAGCCCAAACCUUGUUUGUUUAGGCAAACAAGGGGUAAUAGGAUCUUCACUAACGUGUGUAUAAAUAUAGUAGAAGGGUUUGGAAAGUCCCGCCAAAGAGCGUGAUAGCCGCGUAGACGAAAUAUUAGUACACAUAAAGAAGACACCUGAGUAACUCGGGACACGAGAAAUCUUGAGUGAAUUAGCGGGGACCAUCCCGUAAGGCUAAAUAUGACUGAGAGACCGAUAGUGAACAAGUACCGUGAGGGAAAGGUGAAAAGCACCUCGCAUAGAGGAGUGAAAUAGUACCUGAACCCGUCUGCCCACAAGCGGUAGGAGCCCCUUCGUGGGGUGACUGCGUGCCUUUUGCAUAAUGAACCUACGAGUUGUCGAUGCCGGCAAGGUUAACUGAAGGAAUCAGGGAGCCGCAGCGAAAGCGAGUCUGAAUAGGGCGAAUAUAGUCGGUAUAGGCAGACGCGAAACCAAGUGAUCUACCCUUGGCCAGGUUGAAGGUUAGGUAACACUAACUGGAGGACCGCAUCGAUAAGCGUUGAAAAGCUUACGAAUGAGCUGAGGGUAGGGGUGAAAGGCUAAUCAAACUUGGAGAUAGCUCGUACUCCCCGAAAUGCAUUUAGGUGCAGCCUGUACUGUUUCUUGCAAGAGGUAGAGCGACUGAUUGGAUGCGAGGCUUUCACCGGCUAUCAAGUCCGGACAAGACAAACGAAGUCAAGAUGCGAAGACAGCUAGGAUGUUGGCUUGGAAGCAGCCAUUCAUUUAAAGAGUGCGUAACAGCUCACUAGUCGAGGAUUUUGGCAUGGAUAAUAAGCGGGCAUAAGCAAUGUACCGAAGCCGUGGGAUCGUAAGAUCGGUAGGGGAGCAUUCCUAUUGGGUAGAAGGUUAUAAGACGAUUAUGACUGGACCGGUAGGAAAAGCAAAUGUAGGUAUAAGUAACGAUAAAGAGGGUUAGAAUCCCUCUCGCCGAAAGACCAAGGUUUCCUGAUCUACGCUCGACGUAUCAGGGUUAGUCGGGACCUAAGCUGAAGCCUAAAGGCGCAGGCGAUGGAAGAAUGGGUUAAUAAUCCCAUACUAAUUACAUGAGUGAAGUGGGGACGGAGAAGUGACAAUGCUGCCGGCUGACGGAAUAGCCGGUUGAACGGGAAAGAUGUAGACGAGGAUAGGCAAAUCCGUUCUCGGAGUCGAACCCGGAAAGUACACAAGGUGCUUGCACUGAGUGAUAAUGCAUGUAAGCAGGCUCCCAAGAAAAUCCGCUAACGUUAAUGAUGUAAUUACCCGUACCGUAAACCGACACAGGUGGUUGGGUUGAGUAUACUAAGGCGCUCGAGAGAUUCGCGGUUAAGGAACUAGGCAAAAUAGUCCUGUAACUUCGGGAGAAAGGACGCCACACUCCGGUGUGGUUGCAGAGAAAAGGCCCAGGCGACUGUUUAGCAAAAACAUAUGGCUGUGCGAAAUAGAAAUAUCAAGUAUACAGCCUGACACCUGCCCGGUGCCGGAAGGUUAAGAGGAGAUGUCAUCGUAAGAGAAGCAUCAAAUUGAAGCCCCGGUAAACGGCGGCCGUAACUAUAACGGUCCUAAGGUAGCGAAAUUCCUUGUCGGGUAAGUUCCGACCUGCACGAAUGGUGUAACGAU
rnacentral:rRNA from 1 species